AUUGAACGCUGGCGGCAGGCCUAACACAUGCAAGUCGAACGAGUGGCGGACGGGUGAGUAACGUCUGGGAAACUGCCUGAUGGCGGGGGUUAACUACUGGAAACGGUGCCUAAUACCGCAUACCUUCAGCUGUUCCCUGGUGGGAUUAGCUAGUUGGUGGGGUAACGGCUCACCGAGGCGACGAUCCCUAGCUGGUCUGAGAGGAUGACCGGCCACACUGGAACUGAGACACGGUCCAGACUCCUACGGGAGGCAGCAGUGGGGAAUAUUGCACAAUGGGCGAAAGCCUGAUGCAGCCAUGCCGCGUGUAUGAAGAAGGCCUUCGGGUUGUAAAGUACUUUCAGCGGGGAGGCGUUACCCGCAGAGGAAGCACCGGCUAACUCCGUGCCAGCAGCCGCGGUAAUAC
rnacentral:rRNA from 1 species